rnacentral:lncRNA from 1 species
AUGCCCGAGGGGAAUCCUGAGCUGCGCGGGCAGGCCGGGCGGAGCGUCUCCUUCUCCAUCAGCCGCAGCCUGAAGCGCAGUCCUUGUCCUCCGGCGCCCACUCUCCCGGAGAUCCGCUUUCGCCUCCAGGCCCAGAAGGGGGAGGCUCGGGAACAUCCCGCCCGCUCCCGGAUCCCUUUCCCCCGCGGGGCUCCGGGGAGCCGGCCGAAGGUUCGAGGGCCGGGCCCGGCUCAGCAAGGCGGAGGUUUGGGCGCCGCGGGCCCCCUGCCUUCCCCGGAGGCCGCGCAGCGCCCGCGCAUCUCCGCCCGGCCCCGCCUCGCCCUCCCCUUGCCCGGGGAAGGGGGCGCCGGUCCCCGCGGGGCCGAGGCCCGGCCGACCUCCCCGGGGGGCAGCGGAGGGUCCGCAGCCGCCCCCGCCGAGGGCCCUGAUUGGCCAGCGCGGGCCCAAGGGCGUGGUGGCUCUCGGCCCCUCCCGCCGGGAAAGAGGGCGGGGCCGGCCCCGAGCUGCUCCCCGGGGGGGCCCGGAGCCCGCCCUGCUUUGGCCCGCCCGGCCUGCCCUCGGGGAGCCCCGGGGCGCGAAGACGGGGGCGGCGGGGCUGCGCUUCCGGCCCCAGGGAAGCGGCUGGGAGAGGCGGCUCUCCCGCGCCCUGCCCCGGAUCGCUGGGGGCGCAACGCCCGCGACGUCGGUCCCGCUCCGCUCGAAGGCCGAAGCCCCGCCUGCCGCGGUGGGAGAGGCGCCCGCCAGAUGCCCCGCUCCUUCGGGGGCGCAACGCGGCCCCCCGCCCGUCCCGUCGGACCCGCGCUCGCAGGGGGGCCGCGCCGGGGCCGCAGUGGGGAGGGGCCCGCCCGGGGGCCGCACCCCGGCCGGCAAAGUCAGCCGCUGCGUCGCGUCAUCCCAGGCCGCAGAGGGGCGCCCAGCCACGUGCGGCGCAGGACGGGCCGCGCUCGGGCUCCGCCCCGGCCGAGACUGCGCCCCGCUCGGCGACCGCGGCCCGGCCUCCUCCCCCUCGGCGGGGUCCCCGGGCGGCGCGGGCCCCUCUCGGCCAACGAGCGCGGCGCUAGGACCCGGGGGCAGCGCGGCCCCAACUGCAGCGCCGCCUCUGCCUUAUAA